CUGACGAAUGGAUACAAAGGCUAGUCAUUUUGUUGUCUCCUGUCAUCUCAAAUGGUGUAAAUCUUAUCUUCGAGAGAAUUGAACACGCAAAUAUGCAUCCACCUGGUUAGUUUUACAUAACCUUCAAGGCUCGAAACGCCACUACAGAUGAAGUCAAAACUUAUCAAACUAGGGUCUUUCGCUAGCCACCUACCGUUCUGACAUUGAAGUUGAGCUUUUCAGGC
rnacentral:misc_RNA from 1 species